GAGUUUGAUCCUGGCUCAGGACGAACGCUGGCGGCGUGCUUAACACAUGCAAGUCGAACGGUGAAGCUCCAGCUUGCUGGAGUGGAUCAGUGGCGAACGGGUGAGUAACACGUGAGCAACCUGCCCCUGACUCUGGAAUAAGCGCUGGAAACGGCGUCUAAUACUGGAUAUGAGAAGGGUCCGCAUGGGCACUUUCUGGAAAGUUUUUCGGUUGGGGAUGGGCUCGCGGCCUAUCAGCUUGUUGGUGAGGUAAUGGCUCACCAAGGCGACGACGGGUAGCCGGCCUGAGAGGGCGACCGGCCACACUGGGACUGAGACACGGCCCAGACUCCUACGGGAGGCAGCAGUGGGGAAUAUUGCACAAUGGGCGAAAGCCUGAUGCAGCGACGCCGCGUGAGGGAUGACGGCCUUCGGGUUGUAAACCUCUUUCAGCAGGGAAGAAGCGAAAGUGACGGUACCUGCAGAAGAAGCACCGGCUAACUACGUGCCAGCAGCCGCGGUAAUACGUAGGGUGCGAGCGUUGUCCGGAAUUAUUGGGCGUAAAGAGCUUGUAGGCGGUUUGUCGCGUCUGCUGUGAAAAUCCGGGGCUCAACCCCGGACUUGCAGUGGGUACGGGCAGACUAGAGUGUGGUAGGGGAGACUGGAAUUCCUGGUGUAGC
rnacentral:rRNA from 1 species